ensembl:lncRNA
AGACGGUGGCCGGGGCCUGCCCACAUGAGGGAUGGGGGAGAUCCAGGGCCAGGCGGUCGCUGCCUCCGUGGAAGCGCUGGACUCAGGAAGCAGCUGUCCUGGGCCGCAGCAGCCCAAGGGAGGAAGUGGACAGAGGUGGGGCUGGACCCAGGGCCUGCGGGUGAGUCAGCAGCUCGUGACUCUGGCCACCCGGGGGCUUCCUCUGCCGCCGACCCCGGCCCCUCCGUGUGCAGGGACCCGGGUGGCUGGGCACCCUCAGCUCGGGAGCUGGAGCCCGGCCCUGCCCAGGCCAGCCAGGGCCGCCCGCCUCCUGCAGCCGCCAGAGCACGGCGGCCUCUGCCCAGGAGCAGGGAGCCCUGGCCUCGCGCUGGCCUCCUGUGGUCCUGGGAGGCAGCAAAGAUUCAAAGCUGAUUACAGAAGACACCUUCCUGCCCCAGAGGACCAGGGGAUUCACCUGCCUCCUGGGCGUUGGGGGCUGCGAACGCUGCUGAGUCUCCGAACGCUGCUGAGUCUCCGCUCACGGGACACGGUGCAGGGUGUGUGACCUGACCGCCACCUCCCAGGGCCCUCGGGACGGCCCGGCCACAGCAGGCAGCUCUCCCCAGCCGCGGCUCUGUUGGUGCGCAGAACUCGUCACCAUGGAGAAUGACGUAUUGAUUUGCUYAUUGACUUAAAAUAACAGCGGUGUCUGCAUCUAGAGGCGGCGCUCCAUCCCGGCCUGCACUCUGCUGUAUCAUCCUAUGGGGCACAGAGAGGUGGAGGAACUUCCUCAAGGUCACACAGCCAGGGCCGAAGCUGGGUCUCAUGGGUUCAUUCCCCGGUGUCUGUCUCCCCCACAGGAACCUGUGCCUUGCCCACACCUGGCCCUGAGCCUGAGCUGGGGCCUGCACGCGGUGCUCAGUCACUCACGCUGGUGAACUUGGGACUCUGCAGCAGCUGGUGGGAGAGUUUUCCUGUCCACCCUGAAGCUCUUUUGUUUUUUGGUGCCAGGGAUUGAGCUCAGGACUCUCGACCACUGAGCCGCAUCCCCAGCCCUGUUUUGUGUUUUAUUUAGAGACAGGGUCUCACCGAGUUGCUUAGCACCUCCCUGUUGCUGAGGCUGGCUUUGACCUCUCAAUCCUCCUGCCUCAGCCUCCCUAGCCGCUGGGAUGACAGGUGUGCGCCCCRGCCCCCGGCCCAGGCAGCUCUUUCCGUGCAGCAGGGAGAAGAGCCCCGGGUGCUCUGACCCACYGCCUUCCCCCUUCCUCCAUCCCCCUUCCUCCAUCAUCCAGCGCAGGGCCAGGGGCCCAGCGUCCCCAGGGGCCCAUCCUGGCCUGGCACCCGGGCCCCACCCGAGGUUCGGCUGCUGAACUUCACUGGGGCUGCCGCAGCUCUGGGGCAGCUGAACUGAGUGGCUGAGGAGAGACCCCCGAAGCUGAAGGUUCACCGCUGCCUUCACAGGGUGGGGGGCAGCCAGAGCCCAGGCUGCUGGCUUUGAAGGAGCAGGGCACCUCCUUCUCCAGCGGGUGCUGGGAGAACCCAGGGGCUCUCCACUGAGCCACUUCCCAGCCCUUGAUUUUCUAUUUGAGACGGGGUCUCCCUAAAUUGCUGAGGCUGGCCUCAAACUUGCAAUCCUUCUGCCUCAGCCUCCAGAGUGGCUGGGAUGACAGGUGGGUGCCACCAUCUCCAACUUGAGUUUUCUUUUAAUUGACAAAUGAUAGUUGUAUAUAUUUCUGGUAGACAACAGAUGAAUAGAUUUUUAAAAACGUGCUCCAUACACACAAUGGGAUAUUAUUCGGCCAUAAAGAAGAAUGAAAUUCUGACAUAUGCAGGUAAAGGCAGGGGACAGAGAACAUGCUGGUGAAAUAGGCCAACCUCAAAAAGCCAAAGACCGAAUGUUCCCCCUGAUGUGCAGACGGUAACCCRUAAUGAGGGGGCGGGAGAAUAGAAGUUCACUGGAUCAGGCACAGGGGAAUGAGGGGAGGAGGGGAAGGAAACAGGAAGGCAGUCAAGUGAACCGGACGUCACUUUCCUCGUUCAUACAGGAACCCGGCCACGUUGCUCCACAUCCCCUUCRACCACAAGACGGGGAGUCAGAUCCGUGUGCGGGACAUGCCCAAUGCUCUCCUUCAUGCAUAACUGACAAGAACAAAUGGCAUGUCAAGRGCUUUGUAAUGUUUUGAACAACUAAUAAUAAAAAAAUUUAAAACAGGAACA